rnacentral:rRNA from 1 species
ACUCAAAGGAAUUGACGGGGGCCCGCACAAGCAGCGGAGCGUGUGGUUUAAUUCGAGGCUACCCGAAGAACCUUACCUGGGUUUGACAUGCGCGUAGUAGGGAACCGAAAGGGGACCGACCUUCGGGAGCGCGCACAGGUGCUGCAUGGCUGUCGUCAGCUCGUGUCGUGAGAUGUACGGUUAAGUCCGCAAACGAGCGCAACCCCUGGCAGUAGUUACAGGUGUCUACUGCGACUGCCCGUGAGAAACGGGAGGAAGGUGGGGAUGACGUCAAGUCAGCAUGGCCUUUAUAUCCAGGGCGACACACACGCUACAAUGGACGGUACAGAAGGGUGCGAAAGCGCGAGCUGGAGCCAAUCCGAGAAAGCCGUUCGUAGUUCGGAUUGCAGGCUGCAACCCGCCUGCAUGAAGUUGGAGUUGCUAGUAACCGCCGGUCAGCCAAACGGCGGUGAAUACGUUCCCGGGCCUUGUACACACCGCCCGU